rnacentral:rRNA from 1 species
GGCCUCAGUACUCUGAGGUACCAGAUCCUGUUUGAUCUUGGAAGCUAAGCAGGGUCAGCCCUGGUUAGUACUUGGCUAGAAUGCCUCCUAUGAAUCCCAGGUGCU